rnacentral:rRNA from 1 species
AUUGAACGCUGGCGGCAUGCCUUACACAUGCAAGUCGAACGGCAGCACGGGAGCAAUCCUGGUGGCGAGUGGCGAACGGGUGAGUAAUAUAUCGGAACGUGCCCAGUAGUGGGGGAUAACUGCUCGAAAGAGCAGCUAAUACCGCAUACGACCUGAGGGUGAAAGGGGGGGAUCGCAAGACCUCUCGCUAUUGGAGCGGCCGAUAUCAGAUUAGCUAGUUGGUGGGGUAAAGGCCUACCAAGGCAACGAUCUGUAGUUGGUCUGAGAGGACGACCAGCCACGCUGGGACUGGGACACGGCCCAGACUCCUACGGGAGGCAGCAGUGGGGAAUUUUGGACAAUGGGCGCAAGCCUGAUCCAGCAAUGCCGCGUGCAGGAAGAAGGCCUUCGGGUUGUAAACUGCUUUUGUCAGGGAAGAAAUCCUCUAGGUUAAUACCCUUGGGGGGAUGACGGUACCGUAAGAAUAAGCACCGGCUAACUACGUGCCAGCAGCCGCCGUAAAAC